CUUUUUAUAGCACCAGGUUAUAGAAAGACAUAGUUUUGUAGAAAGAUUUAUUAAGAGACAAACUUCAAAGACAAAUUUAAACACACAUACUGCUGCACCUAAUGGUCUCCCUGGAUAAAGGCUUUUCCCCUGGUGGAUCACUUAAGGUGAGAAAUGACAAGACGUAGCUAGAGGGGAGGACUGUUCAAGAGAGCACCACAAGACCCUCUCUCAACUUGGAGACAAAAAUCACCAUGUCCCUCUCUUCUUCAAUACGGAUGAACCCCAU
rnacentral:lncRNA from 1 species